rnacentral:rRNA from 1 species
UACGUAGGGUGCAAGCGUUGUCCGGAAUCAUUGGGCGUAAAGAGCUCGUAGGCGGUGUGUCGCGUCUGCUGUGAAAACUCAGGGCUCAACUCUGAGCUUGCAGUGGGUACGGGCACACUAGAGUGCUGUAGGGGAGACUGGAAUUCCUGGUGUAGCGGUGAAAUGCGCAGAUAUCAGGAGGAACACCGGUGGCGAAGGCGGGUCUCUGGGCAGUUACUGACGCUGAGGAGCGAAAGCCAUGGGGGAGCGAACAGG